rnacentral:lncRNA from 1 species
CUUCUGUGUCCUUUCUCCCUCCGUAGGAAGGGAAGGGACCCGCGGCCUCGCAACACCACCACCCCAAACACCGUUCUCGCGUCUCCGGCCCGCAUGGCUCUCCGCCUCCCCCUCCUCCUGCUCCUUCUGGCCGUCGCCUCCGUGGCCACGCCAUCGGCCGUCGCCACUGCCGAUCCCAACGUCCAGUGGGGACUCGUCCGCGUCGACGGCGGAGACGCCGCGGGGCUCGGGGCCUCGGCUCCCACCUGCGACGGCCUCGUAGGGGAGUGCGUCGACGAGGACGACGAGCCCGACAUGGAACCGGAGGACGCCCGCCGCUUCCUGU